AAUAUUGCACAAUGGGCGCAAGCCUGAUGCAGCCAUGCCGCGUGUAUGAAGAAGGCCUUCGGGUUGUAAAGUACUUUCAGCAGUGAGGAAGGUGGGUAUGUUAAUAGCAUAUUCAUUUGACGUUAGCUGCAGAAGAAGCACCGGCUAACUCCGUGCCAGCAGCCGCGGUAAUACGGAGGGUGCGAGCGUUAAUCGGAAUUACUGGGCGUAAAGCGCAUGCAGGUGGUUUGUUAAGUCAGAUGUGAAAGCCCGGGGCUCAACCUCGGAAUUGCAUUUGAAACUGGCAAACUAGAGUACUGUAGAGGGGGUAGAAUUUCAGGUGUAGCGGUGAAAUGCGUAGAGAUCUGAAGGAAUACCGGUGGCGAAGGCGCCCCCCUGGACAGAUACUGACACUCAGAUGCGAAAGCGUGGGGAGCAAACAGGAUUAGAUACCCUGGUAG
rnacentral:rRNA from 1 species